AUUGAACGCUGGCGGAAUGCUUUACACAUGCAAGUCGAACGGCAGCACGGACUUCGGUCUGGUGGCGAGUGGCGAACGGGUGAGUAAUGUAUCGGAACGUGCCCAGUCGUGGGGGAUAACGUAGUGAAAAUUACGCUAAUACCGCAUACGAUCUAUGGAUGAAAGCGGGGGAUCGCAAGACCUCGCGCGAUUGGAGCGGCCGAUAUCAGAUUAGGUAGUUGGUGGGGUAAAGGCCCACCAAGCCAACGAUCUGUAGCUGGUCUGAGAGGACGAUCCGCCAGACUGGAACUGAGACGCGGUCGAGACUCCUACGGGAGGCAGCAGUGGUGAAUUUUGGAGAAUGGGCGGAAGCCUGAUCCUGCCAUGCCGCGUGCAGGAUGAAGGCCCUCGGGUUGUAAACUGCUUUUGUACAGAACGAAAAGGUUUCUACUAAUACUAGGAGCUCAUGACGGUACUGUAAGAAUAAGCACCGGCUAACUACGUGCCAGCAGCCGCAGUAA
rnacentral:rRNA from 1 species